rnacentral:lncRNA from 1 species
UCAAAACUCAAUGUGCGAAGCUCUUUAGAAAACCCUAAAAUAAAGCUUUAAAUAGUUCACCCUAAUUAUGGAAACUUAAUAAUAGAAUUCAGAAAUCCCUCGGAUAGGUAACGACAUUUGUGUUAGCCUAUCAGGAGGCUGACGACUUAUCACAAAUGUCGCCAUCUCUUUCUUCAGUUUGGGCUCUUUCUCUUUAAGGUUGACGACAAACUUGACAACUUAUCAGCUUCGUGAUGGCCUAUCACAAAAUAUCGUCAAAGUCUGCUUCAGUUCUCCUGUACUAUCUCAGGCUGACGACAUUCUUGACAGCUUAUCAUACCCUUGACGACUUAUCACAAAGUGUCAUCACAUCUUUCAACUUAGGCCAAUUCUCUAUUUACUGCUGACGACAAACUUGAUAACUUAUCACAGGGCUGACGACUUAUCACAAAUGUCG